rnacentral:rRNA from 1 species
AUGGCGGCCCUAUGUAGUCAUAAAAUUAGGAACCUGAAGGGAAAAUGGAAGGCACCUUUGAUCGACAUUCAGCCUAGAAAACAAAAACAAAACAGUGGAGCUGAAGCAGAUGGUUUGUUGAUUUAUGAUGGUGCAGAUCUUGGAAACAAUUCAACUGGGCACCACGGCGCUGAAUUGAAGUACACGCAUUCAUUGGCCUCCACUUGUGCGCCAAUCUAUGAUGCCUGCGCCCGCGGUGUCAGGUCACGCUCUGCUGCAAUUGUGCAUGCCGCCUCUACGCGACCCCAUCAAGGAAUACAGCCCAACUGA